UGUGCAAGCAUUGAAUUGGACAGCUACCCU
rnacentral:piRNA from 1 species